rnacentral:rRNA from 1 species
AGUGGGGAAUAUUGCACAAUGGAGGAAACUCUGAUGCAGCAACGCCGCGUGGAGGAUGACGCAUUUCGGUGUGUAAACUCCUUUUAUAUGGGAAGAUAAUGACGGUACCAUAUGAAUAAGCACCGGCUAACUCCGUGCCAGCAGCCGCGGUAAUACGGAGGGUGCAAGCGUUACUCGGAAUCACUGGGCGUAGAGCGCGCGCAGGCGGCCUAUUAAGUUGGAUGUGAAAGCCUAUGGCUCAACCAUAGAACUGCAUCCAAAACUAUUAGGCUAGAGUCUGGGAGGGGAAGAUGGAAUUAGUUGUGUAGGGGUAAAAUCCGUAGAGAUAACUAGGAAUACCAAAAGCGAAGGCGAUCUUCUGGAACAGUACUGACGCUGAGGCGCGAAAGCGUGGGGAGCAAACAGGAUUAGAUACCCUGGUAGUCCACGCCCUAAACGAUGAAUGUUAGUCGUCGGGUAGCUAGUCUAUUCGGUGAUGCAGCUAACGCAUUAAACGUUCCGCCUGGGGAGUACGGUCGCAAGAUUAAAACUCAAAGGAAUAGACGGGGACCCGCACAAGUGGUGGAGCAUGUGGUUUAAUUCGAAGAUACGCGAAGAACCUUACCUAGCCUUGACAUAUAUUAGAAUCACCCAGAGAUGGGAGAGUGCCUUCGGGAGCUUUUAUACAGGUGCUGCACGGCUGUCGUCAGCUCGUGUCGUGAGAUGUUGGGUUAAGUCCCGCAACGAGCGCAACCCUCGUCACUAGUUACUAACGGUUCGGCCGAGGACUCUAGUGAGACUGCCUUCGUAAGGAGGAGGAAGGUGAGGACGACGUCAAGUCAUCAUGGCCCUUACGGCUAGGGCAACACACGUGCUACAAUGGCCAGGACAAUGAGACGCAAUACCGCGAGGUGGAGCAAAUCUAUAAACCUGGUCUCAGUUCGGAUUGUAGUCUGCAACUCGACUACAUGAAGCUGGAAUCACUAGUAAUCGUAGAUCAGCUAUGCUACGGUGAAUACGUUCCCGGGUCUUGUACUCACCGCCCGUCACACCAUGGGAGUUGAUUUCACCCGAAGCGGGGAAGCUAAACUGGCUACCCUCCACGGUGGAAUUAGCGACUGGGGUG